rnacentral:rRNA from 1 species
CGUGCAGGCGGCUCGCUAAGUCUGAUGUGAAAGCCCCGGGCUCAACCCGGGAAGUGCAUUGGAAACUGGCGAACUCGAGUACGGGAGAGGGAAGUGGAAUUCCGAGUGUAGGGGUGAAAUCCGUAGAUAUUCGGAGGAACACCAGUGGCGAAGGCGGCUUCCUGGACCGAUACUGACGCUGAGACGCGAAAGCGUGGGGAGCAAACA